UCCGCCGUGCAGGCCGUGGCGUCACCACCCCCUCCCGGACACCUCCCCCGGGGCGGCCACUCCCCCAGCGGCCCAGGCGCUGCGCACCGCCAGGCCUGACUUCCGGGCGCUCCCUAUCCGCGGCCCGAGAGGGGGAAGACCAGGUACUUUGAUGGGGGGUGGGGCUGCUAGGUUCGUGAAAGCCCGGAGUGAAAGUCCUCGGGCGGAAGGAGACCCGGCGGUGCGUUCUUCGGGUAAUCUGGAGCCUGGGCGCACGUCGGGGCUGGCGAGGUGGUGGAGCUCCCAGCCCAGGACACUCGACCCCCCCUUCCCGAUGGCCGGCUGAUGGCCUGCACCCCUCCAAGCACCACCUUCCCUGGGCUUUGGGAGGUUGCACUUCCUUCUGAUCGUUUGCAAAAAAAAAACAACUCAAAUUCUGAGCCUUCCCUUCCCCCAGCCUGAGAGCCUGGCACCGCUUCAAGGUCCUGGGGUGAGAGGGAAAAGGCGAUCUGUCCGCGGGAGGCCCUGCAGUCACCUGGUUUGGAGUUACCUGGAGUGUUUUGAGGACUGCAGAUCAGGACUUGGACCCCCGCCCAGGAAAUCAGACGGUCUGAUGAUGAGACUAGGAAUCUACGCUGUCGGGUAAAUAACUGGAAUGAGAUUUCUGGGUCACAAGUAUUUCUGGGUCAUGUGAUGAAUGUAUGUUAAAAGUAAAAACCACUGAACCAUUUUCCAGAACAAUGAGUUUAUAGUUGUUCUGCAUCCUCCCUUUGUUUUUAUUUUUACUGUAAUCAUUCCAGUAAUAACCAUAAUUCAUUAAGGUUUUAAUUUGUAGUUCUCUAAUAAAUAAUGAUAUUGAAUAUCAUU